rnacentral:rRNA from 1 species
GACGAACGCUGGCGGCGUGCCUAAUACAUGCAAGUAGAACGCUGAAGGAGGAGCUUGCUCUUCUGGAUGAGUUGCGAACGGGUGAGUAACGCGUAGGUAACCUGCCUGGUAGCGGGGGAUAACUAUUGGAAACGAUAGCUAAUACCGCAUAACAGUAGAUGUUGCAUGACAUUUACUUAAAAGGUGCAAUUGCAUCACUACCAGAUGGACCUGCGUUGUAUUAGCUAGUUGGUGGGGUAACGGCUCACCAAGGCGACGAUACAUAGCCGACCUGAGAGGGUGAUCGGCCACACUGGGACUGAGACACGGCCCAGACUCCUACGGGAGGCAGCAGUAGGGAAUCUUCGGCAAUGGACGGAAGUCUGACCGAGCAACGCCGCGUGAGUGAAUAAGGUUUUCGGAUCGUAAAGCUCUGUUGUAAGAGAAGAACGAGUGUGAGAGUGGAAAGUUCACACUGUGACGGUAUCUUAACAGAAAGGGACGGCUAACUACGUG